CUUUGCAGAAAACUUCAAGAGACCAUGCUAUUGAAUGUGGUGAUAAAGAGGGCCAGAAUUUGCUAGUGGAGCUGAACAGUGAAUCUUCACAAGACAAAUCUAACGAGAAUGACAUUGAAGGGGACCAGAAAUUGCCAGUGGAGCUUAAUCAUGAAACUUCAGAAGACAAUACUAAAGAGGACGAUGACGAAGGGGGCCAGAAAUUGCCAGUAGAGCUUAAUCAAGAAGUACAGUUAAAGAUUGGCAGCUACAUUGAGGUAGAGUAUGAGCUGAACAGAGGAAGAAAGAAGGAAUGUAAAACAUAUGUUG
rnacentral:lncRNA from 1 species